UCUGACCUGUCAUUACUUUCCUUCCACAGACCCUGUUCCAGAGCCUCAGGUUAUGCAGAUCCAUUCAGCUAACAGGAGCUGCAUUCUGCUGUGCUUUGUGGGAAACGCCAGUGAAGUGAACGUGUCCUGGAUGAGAGAUGGGAAGCCACUCCACACAACAGAACUGGAUCCCUGGCAAGAAACAGAAUCAGUUUCCGUUGUCUUCACCUGUGUGGCCAGCAACCCUGCCAGCAACAAGAGCAUCACUGUGACGCCUUCGGAUUACUGCGGUAAAAGAAACAGCAACAGAGAGGGUGAAACCACCACAAUAAGACCCUCCACUGAGCUCAUUGUGAGGGUGCUGGUGUUCAUAGUGCUGAGUGGAGUCGUGAUCGCAGUCUGUGUGAGUGUCUGGAAGAAGAUCAAUGCUAGCAGUGAAUGCAGGUGAACGUUAUACAGCAUUGUUAUAGCACAAGAUCUUAUAUAUGAAAGCUGUCUCUCCACUGAGCUCAUUGUGAGGGUGCUGGUGUUCAUAGUGCUGAGUGGAGUCGUGAUCGCAGUCUGUGUGAGUGUCUGGAAGAAGAUCAAUGCCAGCAGUGAAUGCAGGUGAACGUUAUACAGCAUUGUUAUAGCACAAGAUCUUAUAUAUGAAAGCUGUCUCUCCACUGAGCUCAUUGUGAGGGUGCUGGUGUUCAUAGUGCUGAGUGGAGUCGUGAUCGCAGUCUGUGUGAGUGUCUGGAAGAAGAUCAAUGCUAGCAGUGAAUGCAGGUGAACGUUAUACAGCAUUGUUAUAGCACAAGAUCUUAUAUAUGAAAGCUGUCUCUCCACUGAGCUCAUUGUGAGGGUGCUGGUGUUCAUAGUGCUGAGUGGAGUCGUGAUCGCAGUCUGUGUGAGUGUCUGGAAGAAGAUCAAUGCUAGCAGUGAAUGCAGGGUUGAUGUAAAUCGUCCUCAACUCAGCCAGCAGACAGACGAUAAACUUACCACUGUGUAUGAGGAAGUGCAGGCUGAGAGCUAGGGUCUCACCUGAACCUUGUAUUUGAGUCGUACUGUCGCCCUGGCUGUAAACCGCACCGUGUUUAAAUAUGAAGCCUGCGUUGUAACCCUGUCUGUGCUGCCCUGGGACUCCUGUGUGAGUCGCCUGGGACAAAGCAGGAGUCUGCCGAAUCUUAAUAUGUAAAGAAGAUAGUUUGUCUGUGUCUCUGUUUCUUUCUGCAUUCGGACCCUGCAGGAGCCAGCGCAGCCAAACUCUGCACAGACUCCUCUCUCAUCCAGGGGAAGGUCCAGGUUUAUUAAGUACACAAGAAACUCGAAUCAAGCAAGCGGCAUGUCGCUUAUUACGAGAUGUGAUCAUCUGGCAUCAGCUUGUACUUGCACUGAACUGCUCCAUACCUCGCUGUAUUCUACUGCUGCUCUUAAUUAUAUCUACUUCAUGAAUCUGGUUCUUGAUUUUACUCUUAUAGGUAACUGUGCUCAUGUUUUUUGUAAUUGUUCUUGGUUGAAAUCGUUCUCAUCCAUUCAUCGUACUCACUGCGUGCUCUUACUGGACUUUACUCAUAUAAGCAAACCUUUUCAAUAUAAGUUUAACUGCUCUCAGACGAACCCGCUCUUACAUGUAAUUAUUUACUGUGUGCUUUAGUUUGAUCUUAUUUGAAUGUCAUUAUACUUUCAUUACUGCUCUCAUCUGUAUUAGGAUAUUCUGUAAUAUGAGGUUUUAUGUGAUAACUUGUCAUGUGAUAUUUUAGGGCAGCAGUGUGGAGUAGCGGUUAGGGCUCUGGGCUCUUGACCGGAGGGUCGUGGGUUCAAUCCCAGGUGGGGGGACACUGCUGCUGUACCCUUGGGCAAGGUACUUUACCUAGAUUGCUCCAGUAAAAACCCAACUGUAUAAAUGGGGAAUUGUAUGUAAAAAUAAUAUGAUAUCUUGUAACAAUUGUAAGUCGCCCUGGAUAAGGGUGUCUGCUGAGAAAUAAAUAAUAAUAAUAUUUUAUAAUGUGAUAUUUUGUACUGUGGUAUUUUGUAACAAUUGUAAGUCGCCUUGGAUAAGGGCGUCUGCUAGGAAAUAAUAAUAAUAUAUAAAUGUGACACUGGCAUUUAAAAACAAAACGUAUGCAAAGUGGAAGGAAUGUGUAAAUGCAGGAGUGAGAACCCUUUCUCUUAACCAAGGUAUU